GUGGAUUAGAUACCCUGGUAGUCCACGCCGUAAACGAUGAGCACUAGUUAUUGGGGGUAUUGACUCCCUCAGUGACGCAGCUAACGCAUUAAGUGCUCCGCCUGGGGAGUACGGUCGCAAGACUAAAACUCAAACAAAUUGACGGGGGCCCGCACAAGCGGUGGAUUAUGUGGUUUAAUUCGAAGCAACGCGCAGAACCUUACCUAGGCUUGAACUCCUACGAAUCCGGGGUAAUGCCUGGAGUGUCCGCAAGGAAAUGUAGUGAGAGGUGCUGCAUGGUUGUCGCCAACU
rnacentral:rRNA from 1 species